rnacentral:rRNA from 1 species
UUGACCUCAAAUCAGGUAGGACUACCCGCUGAACUUAAGCAUAUCAAUAAGCGGAGGAAAAGAAACUAACAAGGAUUCCCCUAGUAACUGCGAGUGAAGCGGGAUGAGCUCAAAUUUAAAAUCUGACGGUUUCGCCGUCCGAGUUGUAAUCUGGAGAAGCGUUUUCUGCGUCGGACCGUGUACAAGUCCCUUGGAACGGGGCGUCAUAGAGGGUGAGAAUCCCGUCCAUGACACGGGCUACCUAUGCUUUGUGAUACGCUCUCGAAGAGUCGAGUUGUUUGGGAAUGCAGCUCAAAAUGGGUGGUAAAUUCCAUCUAAAGCUAAAUAUUGGCGAGAGACCGAUAGCGAACAAGUACCGUGAGGGAAAGAUGAAAAGCACUUUGGAAAGAGAGUUAAACAGUACGUGAAAUUGUUGAAAGGGAAACGCUUGGAGUCAGUCGCGUCUGUCGAGACUCAGCCUCGCCUUUGGGCUUGGUGUACUUCUCGGUCGACGGGCCAACAUCGAUUUUGGGUGGCGGAUAAAGGUCUGGGGAAGGUGGCACCUUCGGGUGUGUUAUAGCCCCUCUCCGCAUACGUCGUUCGGGAUCGAGGACCGCAGCGCGCCCUUGUGGCCGGGGCUUUGCCCACG